UCUCAGACUCUCACUCACUCACUCGGCCGUCUCUCUCUCCCUCUCUCACUCACGAAACUCACGAAACCAAACCCUACACUAUUUCUCUCCCGAUCUCUCUCACUCACUCACUCACUCACUCGGCCGUCUCUCUCUCUCUCUGUCUCUCUCUCGACUCGUCCCUUGGCUCUCUCUCACUCUUAGUCACAUCUUUAAGUCUCUUAGAGUCGCGCGAGAUUCAUUCUCUUUCUCCAAACCGAACCAAACAUCAUCCAAUUUUAUUGGUUUUUGGAGCGAAUCCUUGUAAAUUCUGGAGGGCUCUGGUUCAUUCUAAGUAGUUGUGCUUAGUCUCUGUGGGUUUGGAUUAAUAGGCAAAAUUGAAGUUGUUUAGCAUCGCUGCUGCUGCUGCUGCCUGCUGCCUCCUGCUGCUGCUGCUGCUGGUAUUCUGAGCUUUGAAAGUUUGGAAAAUUUUGCUUAAAUGGAGGUUGCUUUGUGAAGGCUUUUGGAAGAAUGGAUGCAGCAUAUUUUUUGCAAGGAUAUUAUCUCUAUGUGUAUUUUUGUGAUGGGUUGUAAUCUUUAAUGUCAUAAGUUUAAUUUGGUUUGUGUAUUAUUUUUUGUAAUGGUUUGUAAGAGAUUAUAUUUCCUUUCCUUGGUUGGUUGGUUGAAUGUGUGUGUGAGAUUUAUUUAGUCUAGAAACUUAGAUUGGAAUGAUGGAUUUUUAUAGCUUGAAUGUACAUAAUUUCAGGUUUUGAAAGA